CCUACGGGAGGCAGCAGUGAGGAAUAUUGGUCAAUGGGCGAGAGCCUGAACCAGCCAAGUCGCGUGAAGGAUGACGGCCCUACGGGUUGUAAACUUCUUUUGUCAGGGAGCAAUUGAGUCCACGUGUGGGCUUAGCGAGAGUACCUGAAGAAAAAGCAUCGGCUAACUACGUGCCAGCCGCCGCGGUAAUAAGGAGGAUGCGAGCGUUAGCCGGAUUUAUGGGGUUUAAAGGGUGCGUAGGCGGAAUAUCAAGUCAGCGGUAAAAAUUCGGGGCUCAACCCCGUCGUGCCGUUGAAACUGUACUUCUUGAGUGCUGGAGAGGCGAUCGGAAUUCCGUGUGUAGCGGGGAAAUGCGUAGAUAUACGGAGGAACACCAGUGGCGAAGGCGGAUUGCUGGACAGUAACUGACGCUGAGGCGCGAAAGCGUGGGGAGCAAACAGGAUUAAAUACCCGGGUAGUC
rnacentral:rRNA from 1 species